AUUCNAAGCAACGCGAAGAACCUUACCAAAUCUUGACAUCCUCUGACCCCUCUUAAGAGAUAGAGUUUUCCCCCUUCGGGGGACAGAGUUGACAGGUGGUGCAUGGUUGUCGUCAGCNCGUGUCGUGAGAUGUUGGGUUAAGUCCCGCAACGAGCGCAACCCUUAAGCUUAGUUGCCAUCAUUAAGUUGGGCACUCUNANUUGGCUUGCCGGUGACAAACCGGAGGAAACGGUGGGGAUGACGUCAAAUCAUNCAUGCCCCUUUAUGAUUUNNGCUACNCCACCGUGCUAACAAUGGAACCAAAUACCAAAGGGGUU
rnacentral:rRNA from 1 species